UCUCAUGUGUCUGCGCUGCGAUCGAUAAUAAACCCGUCCAGAACCAGCAGAACCUCCACACCACUCAGCCUGAGAGGAGGAAGAGGAUGAUGAGAACGAUGAUGUGGCAACAGGAGGAAGGAGAAAUUAGAUGGAGAUAGGAGGAGGAAGAGGAGCGCUGCUCCUUCUGACUCAUCCGGGAUCUUUUCUCUGUCAUUCACUUUGAUAUUAAAGGCUUGUUGGUGAUGGUGCUCUGUUUACUGUGAUGGUGGGUAAGAGAGCCAUGCAGCGCCUCCUGCUGGCCGGCGGCCUGCUGCUGGUCCUGGCCGGCUCCGCCUCCAGCUGCCCCGCGCGGUGCGAGUGCUCCGCACAGACCAAGUCGGUCAGCUGCCACCGCAAGCGGCUGGCCAGCAUCCCGGAGGGCGUCCCCAUCGAGACGCGCGCCCUGGACCUCAGCAAGAACAAACUGCGCCUCAUCAACUUCUACAACUUCUCUUCGUUCCUGCAGCUGGAGGACCUGGACCUCAGCGACAACACCAUCAGCGUAGCCGAGCCCGGCUGCUUCCACUCCAACGUGGCGCUGCGCUCGCUCAACCUGCGCAGUAACCAGCUCAUGCUGGUGGCGAAGGGCGUGCUGGCGGGCCUGACCAACCUCACGCACCUGGACCUGAGUCACAACCGGCUGGUGGUUCUGCUGGACCACGCCUUCCAGGACCUGCACCGGCUGACCUUCCUGGAGGUCAGCAACAACCAGCUGGUGUUCAUCUCCCAGCGAGCCUUCACGGGGCUGCUGGGCAUCCAGAGUCUGACCCUGGAGCGCUCCAACCUCACCGUGGUUCCCACCGACGCUUUGGCCCACCUGCACAACCUGCUGGAGCUGCGCAUGCGCUUUCUGAGCAUCAGCUUCCUCAAGCCUUUCUCCUUCAAGCGGCUGACUCGCCUGCGCCACCUGGAGGUGGAUUCCUGGCCCCUGCUGGAGAGCCUGCCGCCACUGUCGCUGCACGGCCUCAACCUGACCACCCUGUUCAUCACCAACACCAACCUGUCUGCCUUUCCUGGAGCGGCGCUGCGCAACCUGCCCUACCUCACACACCUCAACCUGUCCUACUGCCGCAUUCAGCACAUCCAGCAGGGGGAGCUGGGCACCCUGCCGCAGCUGCUGGAGCUCCGCCUCCAGGGGGCGCAGCUGCUCUCCAUCGAGCCCUUGGCCUUCGCGGGCCUGAAGUCCCUCCAGCUGCUGGAUGUGUCCCAGAACCGACUGGACUCUCUGGAGAGGGCCGUGUUCGCCUCGGCGGACUCCCUGCAGCGGCUCUGCCUGGGCGGCAACCCGCUGGUGUGCGAUUGCCGGUUGCUCUGGUUGCUCAGCAGCCACAAGCCGGCUUCGCUGCAGAUCCUGGACCUGCAGCCGGAGUGCAGCGCUCCGCAGCACCUUCUGGGCAAAUCCCUGCGGGACCUCAAGGAGCCGCUGGUGUCGAGGUACAUGACUUGCACCAAGCCGCGGGUCGGCCCCAACGCCACGCAGCUGCUGAUGGCCGACGAGGGCCAGCCGGCGCGGCUGAGCUGCACGGCGGAGGGAGCGCCGCGGCCCUCGGUGGUCUGGAUCACGCCGCACAGACGUUACGUCACGGCCAAGAACAGCGGCCGCGUGGAGGUCCAACCGGAUGGCAGCCUGGAGAUCAAGGCGGCGGAGCUGCAUGAUAGCGGCGUGUACCUGUGCAUCGCCAGCAACCCGGCGGGCAACGCCAGCCUGUCCGCCUCCCUGGCCGUGAAGAGCCUGGGGACCGGCGACAGGCUCCACUACAGCAACCGCAGCUCCGGCUACCUGACGGAGUCCAACGGCACCUGGGGCAACGGCACGGUGCUGUACAACAUGACGGUCCCCAUCGACAUGAAGACCAUCCUGAUCUCCGCCGCCAUGGGCUGCCUGUCCUUCCUGGGCGUGGUGGUGUUCUGCUUCCUGCUGCUGUUCGCCUGGAGCCGGGGCAAAGGGCGACACAAGAACAACUUCGACAUCGAGUACGUCCCCCGGAAGUCCAACGGCGGCGGCGCAGACGUGGCAGAGACCAGCGGCCCGCGGCGCGUCAACAUGAAGAUGAUCUGACGGCUGCGGCUUCAGUCAGAAAACAAAAUUUCUGUUUGUUUUUUUAAUGACAAAGUGGAUUUGUGACAAACGAAAGUGAUGUACUGUUUAGUGGCUGUGGGUCUGACGGUGGUCUAGUGAUCAGUGGACUUGUGAUAUAUGAUGUUCAUAAUGUACACUCAAUAUAAAUCUAUAACCGACAUAUCAAUAUGGGACUGGCAUCGUGCUGCGAGUGACUCAGUGACGUGAUGAGUAACGACGUGGCAUCAAGGUGAAGGAGGGACAGACUGCAGCGUCACGACCGAACCGUCCCAUCUCAGCUGCAGCCUGAAAGACGUAUGUGUGUGUGUGUGUGUGUGUGUGUGUGUAUGCGCGCGCGCGCGUGUGUGUGUGUGUGUGUUUCUUUGUGCAUGUGCACGCAUUGCCUUUCUCGUGCGGUGGAGCGACUAAGCGUUGAGGUCCAAAGUGUUUUUCUUUCUUUCUCGGGUUUUUCUACCAGAAGCAGGUGUUUGUAUGCAAAUGAAUCUCUACUGACGAAAUGCUGCAGAAACUGUAACAUAGAUCAGCCCCUCAUCCCAUUCCCCUGAAGAAGACACUUCUGGUUUUCUAGACUUGAAAAGGGUUUCAGGAAAACAGGUCUGCUGCUCCUCUGCACAGAAACAGAAAACGGAAAGUCGUGUUGAAUUUUAUAUCAUAAUAAAUCAAAGGCAGACAAAUCCCUGGAUAUGACAGGAAAGAGUUGGUGGCAAAGAUUUACGGCCGCCGGGUUUCCUGGUACCUCUGCAGCUUGAUCCAAACGUUUAAACCUAGCCAGGGGGUUUGAGGGCAGUAAGGAGGACUGGGGGGCAGUAAGGAGGUCUGGGUCUUUCAUAAAUGGACGUUUUGAAUGUUGUAGUUUCUCGUUCUCAUUUAGUUUUGUUCAGAUUUUCGUUGACGAUGUUUUAAAUGUUUACGACGGGGAAAAUAAAUAAUUAACCCUGAAGGGCAACUAUUUG